UUAUCCGGAUUUACUGGGUGUAAAGGGAGCGCAGGCGGCAUGAUAAGUCUGAUGUGAAAACCCAAGGCUCAACCAUGGGACUGCAUUGGAAACUGUCGUGCUGGAGUGUCGGAGAGGUAAGCGGAAUUCCUAGUGUAGCGGUGAAAUGCGUAGAUAUUAGGAGGAACACCAGUGGCGAAGGCGGCUUACUGGACGAUGACUGACGCUGAGGCUCGAAAGCGUGGGGAGCAAACAGGAUUAGAUACCCUGGUAGUCCACGCCGUAAACGAUGGAUACUAGGUGUCGGGGAGCACAGCUCUUCGGUGCCGCAGCAAACGCAGUAAGUAUUCCACCUGGGGAGUACGUUCGCAAGAAUGAAACUCAA
rnacentral:rRNA from 1 species